GAGCUUAUGAUGAUAGAAUAACAUCUUAGCGGAUUUCAAUGAGACCUUAUUGGUCUAUGAUUUCCUCAUUGUUACACACACUGAAGCUU
rnacentral:snoRNA from 1 species